UACGUAGGCAGCAAGCGUUGUUCGGAGUUACUGGGCGUAAAGGGUGUGUAGGCGGUUGGAUAAGUGUGGUGUGAAAUCUCCCGGCUUAACUGGGAGGGUGCGCUACAAACUGUCUGACUAGAGUGUGGGAUGGGUAAGUGGAAUUCUUGGUGUAGCAGUGAAAUGCGUAGAUAUCAAGAGGAACACCAGUGGCGAAGGCGAGUCCCUGGACAACUUCUGACGCUGAGGCACGAAAGCUAGGGGAGCAAACAGG
rnacentral:rRNA from 1 species